rnacentral:rRNA from 1 species
UACGUGUGUGGAGGUCGAUAAACUAAACAUGUGUUUCCUAGUAAUGGCGAAUGAACAGGAACUGGCACAUAGUGGAAUGCAGGGCUUCUUGUUCUGGCUUGUAGUCGCAAGAUGUACUAGCAACAGUGGUGCAGGUGUGAACCUUUUGGAAAGGAGUAUUGGCAAGGGUGGGAACACCAUCUUGGCACCUGUAGUACUUUCGGUGCAUGUUAUACACUCUCAGAGUCACGCUCUUUGAGCCUGGAGCGCGAAGUGGGUGGUAGGCUUCACCUAACGCUUCACAUCGGCCUGAAACCGAUAGCAAACAAGUACCAUGAGGGGAAAGUGAACAAGGACUUUGGAAAGAAAGUUAAACGUGCUUAGGCUUGUUGAAAGGAAAAGUGGUUGUAACCGGUGUGGCUUGGUGAGAUUGUUGUGUGCCAGAGUAGGUGCCUGCUGGCCUGUCACACUGUCGCGGUGAGCCAUCUAACACUGUGUGCUCAAUGUUUCCCCUUUACUUACAUGUGUCAGCCAGCACUGGCUUAUGUGUGGUGAAACAAGCAUGGCAUGGCAGUCUGUCCCAGGGUAGGCGGGUGUGUCCUCUUGUGUCCAUGCACAUGCUUUCGAUGGCAACAUGGUUGCCACCAGCCCGUCUUGAAACACGGACCAAGGAAUCUAACACACAUGCAAGUUCCCGGGUGCGAACACCUAGCCGCACACGGAAAGUGUUUGCUUGGACGCUUGCACCAACAACUGACCAUCCAAGUGAGUGAUGUUUGAGUGUGAACAUGUUUGUUAGGUCCCGAAAGAUAGCGAGCUAUGCCUGUGCAGGGCAAACCCAGAGGAAACUCUGAUGGAGGCCCGCAGCGAUACUGACGUGCAAAUCGUUCGUCGUACAUGGGCAUAUGGGGCGAAAGACUAAUCGAGCCAUCUAGUAGCUGGUUCCCUCCGAAGUUUCCCCCAGGAUAGCUGGAGUUGAACAGUUUCACUAGGUAAAGCGAAUGGUUGGGGGGAUUCAGGGACGCGCUGUCCUUGACCUACUUCGAAACUUUAAAUGGGUAAGCGUCAGUUGCUAUUUUGUGUGAGCUUCUGGAAUGCAUGACAACUUUAAGUGGGCCAUUUUUGGUAAGCAGAACUGGUGAUGAGGGAUGAACCUAACGUUGGGUUAAGGCGCUUCAUUGCUCGCUCAUCAGAUACCAUAAAGGGUGUUGGUUCAUUAAAACAGCAGGACAGUGGUCAUGGAAGUCGAAAUCCGCUAAGGAGUGUGUAACAACUCACCUGCCGAAU